AGUGCGGAGCUACCAUGCAGUCGAGCGGAUGAGAGGAGCUUGCUCUUCGAUUCAGCGGCGGACGGGUGAGUAAUGCCUAGGAAUCUGCCUAGUAGUGGGGGACAACGUUUCGAAAGGAACGCUAAUACCGCAUACGUCCUACGGGAGAAAGUGGGGGAUCUUCGGACCUCACGCUAUUAGAUGAGCCUAGGUCGGAUUAGCUAGUUGGUAGGGUAAAGGCCUACCAAGGCGACGAUCCGUAACUGGUCUGAGAGGAUGAUCAGUCACACUGGAACUGAGACACGGUCCAGACUCCUACGGGAGGCAGCAGUGGGGAAUAUUGGACAAUGGGCGAAAGCCUGAUCCAGCCAUGCCGCGUGUGUGAAGAAGGCCUUCGGGUCGUAAAGCACUUUAAGUUGGGAGGAAGGGCUCAUAGCGAAUACCUGUGAGUUUUGACGUUACCAACAGAAUAAGCACCGGCUAACUUCGUGCCAGCAGCCGCGGUAAUACGAAGGGUGCAAGCGUUAAUCGGAAUUACUGGGCGUAAAGCGCGCGUAGGUGGCUUGAUAAGUUGGAUGUGAAAUCCCCGGGCUCAACCUGGGAACUGCAUCCAAAACUGUCUGGCUAGAGUGCGGUAGAGGGUAGUGGAAUUUCCAGUGUAGCGGUGAAAUGCGUAGAUAUUGGAAGGAACACCAGUGGCGAAGGCGACUACCUGGACUGACACUGACACUGAGGUGCGAAAGCGUGGGGAGCAAACAGGAUUAGAUACCCUGGUAGUCCACGCCGUAAACGAUGUCAACUAGCCGUUGGGAUCCUUGAGAUCUUAGUGGCGCAGCUAACGCAUUAAGUUGACCGCCUGGGGAGUACGGCCGCAAGGUUAAACUCAAAUGAAUUGACGGGGCCCGCACAGCGGUGGAGCAUGUGGUUAAUUCGAAGCACGCGAAGACCUUACCUGGCUUGACUGCUGAAACUUUCCAAAAUGGAUUGGUGCCUCCGGAAUCCAAACCAG
rnacentral:rRNA from 1 species